AACGAACGCUGGCGGCAGGCCUAACACAUGCAAGUCGAGCGAGACCUUCGGGUCUAGCUGCGGACGGGUGAGUAACGCGUGGGAACGUGCCCUUUUCUACGGCAUAGCCUCGGGAAACUGAGCGUAAUACCGUAUACGCCCUUUGGGGGAAAGAUUUAUCGGAGAAGGAUCGGCCCGCGUUGGAUUAGGUAGUUGGUGGGGUAAUGGCCUACCAAGCCUACGAUCCAUAGCUGGUUUGAGAGGAUGAGCAGCCACACUGGGACUGAGACACGGCCCAGACUCCUACGGGAGGGAGCAGUGGGGAAUCUUAGACAAUGGGGGCAACACUGAUCUAGCCAUGCCGCGUGAGUGAUGAAGGCCUUAGGGUUGUAAAGCACUUUCAGCUGGGAAGAUAAUGACGGUACCAGCAGAAGAAGCCCCGGCUAACUCCGUG
rnacentral:rRNA from 1 species